UCUUUUCUUUUGAUAGGAGAGUUUUUAAAACCAGUGUUAUUUUUGUAAGUUUAAGAGAAGUUUGUGUAUUGAAUUUUUAAUAUUAAAGAGCUUUGUUAAACUUAGACUUAAGUUUAGGUCAUUUUGGGGGUUUAGCUCAGUUGGCUAGAGCAUCGGCUUUGCAGGCCGAGGGUCAAGGGUUCGAGUCCCUUAACCUCCAUUGGGCUUAUGUCCUAAAUUGUAAUUAAGUAUGUUUUUAAGCAACUUUAUUAAAGUAAUUGUUGGAAUGUGAAACAGAGGAAGUUAAAAUUUCUGGGUUAAGUUGAGAUCUGUUGAUAUUAAGAAGAAUCUCUAGAAGCAAAAGCAAGCUUUCGAUAAAACCCGAAGUUGUUUCGCUAAAGUGCAAGGAUUAAACAGGAUUGUAUUUUCCAGUAGCCUAUUUUAUAAACGAUCUGCAUUUAGUAAAUAGUUUUUAGUUAGGAAAUAAUGUAUAUUGCUAAGUGUGAUGUC
rnacentral:misc_RNA from 1 species